AGGAGGCAGCAGUGGGGAAUAUUGGUCAAUGGAUGCAAGUCUGAACCAGCCAUGCCGCGUGCAGGAAGAAGGCCUUCUGGGUUGUAAACUGCUUUUGCCAGGGGAUAAAAUAUCCUUGCGAGGAUAAUUGAAGGUACCUGGUGAAUAAGCCACGGCUAACUACGUGCCAGCAGCCGCGGUAAUACGUAGGUGGCAAGCGUUGUCCGGAUUUAUUGGGUUUAAAGGGUGCGUAGGCGGUUUUGUAAGUCAGUGGUGAAAUAUAGCAGCUUAACUGUUAGGGUGCCAUUGAUACUGCAGAACUUGAGUACAGAUGAGGUAGGCGGAAUUGACGGUGUAGCGGUGAAAUGCUUAGAUAUCGUCAAGAACACCUAUAGCGAAGGCAGCUUACUAGGCUGUAACUGACGCUGAGGCACGAAAGUGUGGGGAUCAAACAGGAUUAGAUACCCUGGU
rnacentral:rRNA from 1 species